UCGAAGACGCUGGCGGCGUGCCUAAUACAUGCAAGUCGAGCGGACAGAAGGGAGCUUGCUCCCGGAUGUUAGCGGCGGACGGGUGAGUAACACGUGGGUAACCUGCCUGUAAGACUGGGAUAACUCCGGGAAACCGGAGCUAAUACCGGAUAGUUCCUUGAACCGCAGGGUUCAAGGAUGAAAGACGGUUUCGGCUGUCACUUACAGAUGGACCCGCGGCGCAUUAGCUAGUUGGUGAGGUAACGGCUCACCAAGGCGACAAUGCGUAGCCAACCUGAGAGGGUGAUCGGCCACACUGGGACUGAGACACGGCCCAGACUCCUACGGGAGGCAGCAGUAGGGAAUCUUCCGCAAUGGACGAAAGUCUGACGGAGCAACGCCGCGUGAGUGAUGAAGGUUUUCGGAUCGUAAAGCUCUGUUGUUAGGGAAGAACAAGUGCAAGAGUAACUGCUUGCACCUUGACGGUACCUAACCAGAAAGCCACGGCUAACUACGUGCCAGCAGCCGCGGUAAUACGUAGGUGGCAAGCGUUGUCCGGAAUUAUUGGGCGUAAAGGGCUCGCAGGCGGUUUCUUAAGUCUGAUGUGAAAGCCCCCGGCUCAACCGGGGAGGGUCAUUGGAAACUGGGAAACUUGAGUGCAGAAGAGGAGAGUGGAAUUCCACGUGUAGCGGUGAAAUGCGUAGAGAUGUGGAGGAACACCAGUGGCGAAGGCGACUCUCUGGUCUGUAACUGACGCUGAGGAGCGAAAGCGUGGGGAGCGAACAGGAUUAGAUACCCUGGUAGUCCACGCCGUAAACGAUGAGUGCUAAGUGUUAGGGGGUUUCCGCCCCUUAGUGCUGCAGCUAACGCAUUAAGCACUCCGCCUGGGGAGUACGGUCGCAAGACUGAAACUCAAAGGAAUUGACGGGGGCCCGCACAAGCGGUGAGCAUGUGGUUUAAUUCGAAGCAACGCGAGACCUUACCAGGUCUUGACAUCCUCUGACACCCUAGAGAUAGGACU
rnacentral:rRNA from 1 species